AUUGACUAUGUUAAAUAAAGUUCUAGAUAGAUAAAUGAUAAUGACAAAUUUCUAUCUAUAUGUCUUGACCAAGUCUUGUGCCAGCAGUCGCGGCAAUACAAGGAAGACUAGUGUUAUUCAUCUUUAUUAGGUUUAAAGGGUACCUAGACAGUAUUUCUAGCCUCAAAAAGGUACAGAAUUACUAGAGUUUUAUAGGAGAGGUAAAUAUUAGGACUAUUGGUGUAGAGAUGAAAUUCUUUGAUACUAAUGGAACGGAUAACGGCGAAGGCAACCCUCUAUAUGCAAACUGACGUUGAGGGACGAAGGCUUGGGGAGCAAAUAGGAUUAGAUACCCUAGUAGUCCAGGCAGAAAAUGAUGAGUGUUAUAUAUUAAGAAANUAAAAAUUGGUGUAUAAAUGAAAGUGUAAGCACUCCACCUCAAGAGUAAUGUGGCAACACAGGAACUGAAAUCAUUAGACCGUUUCUGAAACCAGUAGUGAAGUAUGUUAUUUAAUUCGAUAAC
rnacentral:rRNA from 1 species